rnacentral:rRNA from 1 species
UACGGGGGGGGUAAGCGUUGUUCGGAAUUACUGGGCGUAAAGGGCUCGUAGGCGGCCAACUAAGUCAGACGUGAAAUCCCUCAGCUUAACUGGGGAACUGCGUCUGAUACUGGAUGGCUUGGAUCCGGGAGAGGGAUGCGGAAUUCCAGGUGUAGCGGUGAAAUGCGUAGAUAUCGGAAGGAACAUCAGUGGCGAAGGCGGGUCUCUGGGCCGAUACUGACGCUGAGGAGCGAAAGCGUGGGGAGCAAACAGG